GGGGAGUACGGCCGCAAGGUUAAAACUCAAAUGAAUUGACGGGGGCCCGCACAAGCGGUGGAGCAUGUGGUUUAAUUCGAUGCAACGCGAAGAACCUUACCUGGUCUUGACAUCCAGAGAAUCCUGCAGAGAU
rnacentral:rRNA from 1 species